rnacentral:rRNA from 1 species
UACAGAGGUCCCAAGCGUUGUUCGGAUUCAUUGGGCGUAAAGGGUGCGUAGGCGGCGCGGUAAGUCGGGUGUGAAAUCUCGGGGCUUAACUCCGAAACUGCAUUCGAUACUGCCGUGCUUGAGGACUGGAGAGGAGACUGGAAUUUACGGUGUAGCGGUGAAAUGCGCAGAUAUCGGGAAGAACACCUAUGGCGAAGGCAGCUCUCUGGGACGGUACUGACGCUGAGACGCGAAAGCGUGGGGAGCGAACAGG